rnacentral:rRNA from 1 species
UACGAAGGGGGCGAGCGUUGUUCGGAAUUACUGGGCGUAAAGGGCGCGUAGGCGGCGACUCAAGUUAGAUGUGAAAGUCCUGGGCUUAACCUGGGGACUGCAUUUGAUACUGGGUUGCUUGAAUUCGGGAGAGGAUAGCGGAAUUCCCAGUGUAGAGGUGAAAUUCGUAGAUAUCGGAAGGAACACCAGUGGCGAAAAGCGGCUUCCUGGUCCAGCACCGACGUUCAGGCACGAAAGCGUGGGGAGCGAACAGG